AGGAAUGUAAAUUGUAUUUUAUAAUACAAGAUGUAAAAAUUCAUUAAAAUUCUGAGUAGUAUUUGAUAAUGACAUUUACUAUUCAAAUGUCUUGACCAAAUCAUGUGCCAGCAGUCGCGGCAAUACAUGGAAGACUAGUGUUAUUCAUCUUAAAUAGGUUUAAAGGGUACCUAGACGGUUAAAUAGACCUUAAAAAGGGUACAUAUUAACUAGAGUUUAAUGUAAAUUGGGCGGAUAGAACGAGUAGAGUAGAGAUAGAAUUCUUUGAUACACUCUGUAGACUGGUAAAGGCGAAAGCAA
rnacentral:rRNA from 1 species